rnacentral:misc_RNA from 1 species
AUUCAUCUGUCUUACCACAAUGCUUUAUUUUUCCACGCUGAUUCUCCUACAAAAGUCAGUCAACCAAAACAAGAUAAAUCACUUAGCUCCUUCCCUGCACACAAAGGAGUGAUUCUUGAAAUCUGAAGAAAUCCAUCCUGGAAGCACUAGUGCUUUACAUAUCAGUUACUCCUCGAAAAUGAACUUCUCAUUAUUUUGCCUGUUCAUGUUAGGCCUGGUAGUGCAAGGAGUAGAAUUUAAUAAAUGCCUGGAAGAAAGGUGUGGCCGAGGCCUAGUCAUUCGAUUCCCAUUCCUGCUAAUAGAAAAACAGCCAGAGGAGUGUGGCUAUCAUCAUGGGUUUGAUUUAUCUUGCAAAGAGGGGAAACAUGCAGAGCUGCAACUGCCAAAUUCUGUGAAACUCUACGUCCAAAGAAUUGAUUAUGUAAACCAGGUGUUAUUUGCAUCUGACCCAGAUGGCUGUCUGCCAAGGAAGGCUGGAGACCUCAAUCUUUAUAAUUCUAAUUUCCAAUUUGCUGCAGAGACAAAUGAUUAUGCCUUGUUCAGUUGUCCAGUGUCAAAGAGAGAUUUAGGAGAACCAUUGACUUGCCUCGGAGGUCCUGCCGGCAAUAAAGUUUAUGCCUUCAAAUCUUAUGAUACAAUUGAUGAGUUGCCUCUGACAUCUUGCACCAAGAUGUAUAAUGUUUCAUCGGUUCCAAAUGAAAUGUUCGAUAACAGGAAUAUUAUUCAUUUGAAUUGGUCCGUACCAACGUGUAAAUUCUGUGAAAAGCAAGGUAAACAUUGUGGCUGGAAGAAUAGUAACCUUGCAUGUUUCGACUUGCCCAAAACAUCAGGUAUGGUUUUAGCUUAGCAAUCUUGGAAAGAUCUCUACUCACACGAGCUAAACAAAAGAAUUCUAGUAUUUACUUGGGGUUUUCAUAGGAUUUGUGCUUUACUUAAUAUUUUGCAAUUGAAACUCUUUAUCUAAUGCUUUACUUUAUGUAGUCUUAAGAAAUUCUGUCGUUCAUUUAUUAAUCAACUGGAAAAUAAAAGAGAGCUUAAGUAUUAGAAUAACCCAAAAAGUUUGGUAUAUCUGUAAACUUCGUAACGAAGAUCUGCAUCAGUUCUAGUUGUUGCAUUUAGCAUUAAGGCGAACCGUAGUCAUGCUAAUGAUAUUAUUUACAUUCAUGUUUUGCAGGUAUCUUGACCAGGGUACGGAUUGCAGGUGAGUUUCCAAUCCAAAGUGAAAAUAAUCCAUAUUGAUUUUCUAGAAGAUGAAGGGGGCUCAUACCUUUAUGUUUUAUAUGCAGGUAUAGUCCUAGGUUCGUUUAUGCUGCUACUAUUGUCCGCAGCACUCUGUCAUAUUUACAAUACUAAUAGAAAAGAAAAGGAAAACCAAGCCAGGAUAGAGAAAUUUUUGGAAGAUUACAAAGCUCUCAAGCCCACA